rnacentral:lncRNA from 1 species
GUUUUGUAGCCUUUAAGUUUAGUUGUCUUUCAAGUUGAUUCUCAUGUGUGGGCUUAUGUUUCCGGUGACUGAUGUGUUUGUCAGCCGGCUUUGAUUCCGGGAUUAACUCAAUCGCCGGCUUGUGUAAUAUGUUCAAGUUAAUGUAAUCAAAUCUUUCAGGGUUAAAAUAAAAAUGUAAUAACCUACACGGAUCAAUUUUUUGUUAACUCUUUAUAUUCACUAGUUGUUAAAGCAGUUUAAUUAUUUUUCAGUGAUUCUGCGAUUGAGAUAUGUUUAUAAAAUGAGUUAG